CCUUUGACGUUAGCGGCGGACGGGUGAGUAACACGUGGGUAACCUACCUAUAAGACUGGGAUAACUUCGGGAAACCGGAGCUAAUACCGGAUAAUAUUUCUAACCGCAUGGUUCGAUAGUGAAAGAUGGUUUUGCUAUCACUUAUAGAUGGACCCGCGCCGUAUUAGCUAGUUGGUAAGGUAACGGCUUACCAAGGCGACGAUACGUAGCCGGCCUGAGAGGGUGAUCGGCCACACUGGAACUGAGACACGGUCCAGACUCCUACGGGAGGCAGCAGUC
rnacentral:rRNA from 1 species